AUUAGUUCGAUGACAAAGAGAGUAGUUUCAAGGUCAGAACUUCAGAGAACCGGGGAUGGUGCGAGCCCGGUGUUCCCCUUGAAAUGAAGCGCACUUUGGAGAAGCAUAUCUGAAGCUGUUCAGUAGGAUAUGCCGGGUACAUCCCGUUAUCUGAUGAGCUGCCCUGUUUGGGGAAGAAGAGUGGUACCGCGGGAAACCCGUCUCUAUU
rnacentral:ncRNA from 1 species